rnacentral:pre_miRNA from 1 species
GAGACACCCCUCCAGGGCAAGACUUGCUUCAAUGGGACUUUGGUGCUCACUGAGUCUGCCCCCUGAGUGUGUCCCU